UCUGGAGUAGGUCCAGCUUUAGCCUUGGGCGCUAGGUUUGGCUUGGACACUCCAGCCUUGCCCUUCUUCUUCCAAGAAUUGCCCUUCUUCUUAAAGGUAGGCUUGUUCUGUACAGCCAUCACAUGGCUGGUACUAGCGCUUUUCUUAAUGUCUACCUCUGCUAUCUUGAGCAUACCACACAGUUCAUUCAGACCCUUCUCCGUCC
rnacentral:lncRNA from 1 species